UCUUUCGUAGUAUAGUGGUUAGUAUGCGAGCUUGUCAUUCCAAACACAACGCUCGAGACCCGGGUUCAAUUCCCGGCGAGAGAG
rnacentral:tRNA from 2 species